rnacentral:sRNA from 1 species
AGGAGCCUAAGGACCCGGACGAGCGCCGCUCCAGUAGGUGACAAGAGGAACCAAGAACCUCAGUUCAGGGGAAACACAGCAAGGAAAUGUGAGCCCCAGGCUGCAGAAGACCCUACUGUCGCAUUAAUUUCUGGCAACCACACUGAGAAAGGUGUAGAUUAAGCUGGAAAAUCACGAAGAGUGCCAAGGGAUUGGUCAGUUUUUACUGGGGGUCUGCACCAGGCCAGGUGGGUGCUGGUUUUUUGUCUACAUUGUCUCAUUUAAUCCUCAUGGCCACUCUGAGGUAGUGGUAGGAGGAGGGCCUUCUAUUAGAGAUGGGACAUUGCGCCUUAGAGAGGUUAAGUGACUUAUGGAGUCACAGAGCUAAUGGGUGUGAGCAGGGAUUUGAACCAAGUCUGGGGUUCUUUGUGCCUCACUAUCUCUGACAAGGAGUGGCGGAAGGAGGAGGGGAUUGUGGGAUGGAGACAGGAGACAGGACAGCUGGCUUGCAAGGAAUUUGGCAUGCCCCCUGCUGGGUGGUGUUGCUGAUAAACUACAGUACACUCGGUUAAAUGUGAAGUUCAGAAAACAACACAUAGGUUUUUGUUUUUGUUUUUU